rnacentral:rRNA from 1 species
GACGAACGCUGGCGGCGUGCUUAACACAUGCAAGUCGAGCGGUAAGGCCCUUUCGGGGUACGACGAGCGGCGAACGGGUGAGUAACACGUGGGUGACCUGCCUCAGCUCUGGGAUAAGCCUGGGAAACUGGGUCUAAUACCGGAUAUGACUCCAUGACGCAUGUUGUGGGGUGGAAAGCCUUGUGCGGCUGAGGAUGGGCCCGCGGCCUAUCAGCUUGUUGGUGGGGUGAUGGCCUACCAAGGCGACGACGGGUAGCCGGCCUGAGAGGCGACCGGCCACACUGGGACUGAGACACGGCCCAGACUCCUACGGGAGGCAGCAGUGGGGAAUCUUGCGCAAUGGGCGAAAGCCUGACGCAGCGACGCCGCGUGAGGGAUGACGGCCUGGUGUAAC